UACUCACUUGCGUGCACCUAGCCUAGGAAGGUUUCCUUGGGCUUCCCAUCUUUCUACUGAUCGAUCCAUACUCACUUGCGUGCACCUAGCCUAGGAAGGUUUCCUAUGGCUUCCCAUCUUUCUACUGAUCGAUCCAUACUCACUUGCGUGCACCUAGCCUAGGAAGGUUUCCUAUGGCUUCCCAUCUUUCUACUGAUCGAUCCAUACUCACUUGCGUGCACCUAGCCUAGGAAGGUUUCCUUGGGCUUCCCAUCUUUCUACUGAUCGAUCCAUACUCACUUGCGUGCACCUAGCCUAGGAAGGUUUCCUAUGGCUUCCCAACUUUCUACUGAUCGAUCCAUACUCACUUGCGUGCACCUAGCCUAGGAAGGUUUCCUUGGGCUUCCCAUCUUUCUACUGAUCGAUCCAUACUCACUUGCGUGCACCUAGCCUAGGAAGGUUUCCUUGGGCUUCCCAUCUUUCUACUGAUCGAUCCAUACUCACUUGCGUGCACCUAGCCUAGGAAGGUUUCCUAUGGCUUCCCAUCUUUCUACUGAUCGAUCCAUACUCACUUGCGUGCACCUAGCCUAGGAAGGUUUCCUAUGGCUUCCCAUCUUUCUACUGAUCGAUCCAUACUCACUUGCGUGCACCUAGCCUAGGAAGGUUUCCUUGGGCUUCCCAUCUUUCU